UACAGAGGUCUCAAGCGUUGUUCGGAUUCAUUGGGCGUAAAGGGUGCGUAGGCGGCGCGGUAAGUCGGGUGUGAAAUCUCGGAGCUUAACUCCGAAACUGCAUUCGAUACUGCCGUGCUUGAGGACUGGAGAGGAGACUGGAAUUUACGGUGUAGCGGUGAAAUGCGUAGAUAUCGUAAGGAAGACCAGUGGCGAAGGCGGGUCUCUGGACAGUUCCUGACGCUGAUGCGCGAAAGCUAGGGGAGCAAACAGG
rnacentral:rRNA from 1 species